GUUCGAUCGUGUGUUGCCGUCCUCUGCCACCCUUGUGUGAUACCUUUUUAUAUGUAACUGUUAGUCGUUUGGAUUUUUCUGAAUAGGCUGUUGAUCAUCUCUGAUUAUUCGCAAGGAAUCUAUCGUUGGGCCAGAUACAUUUCUUCCUUUAGCUCCGAUGAUCCUUUGCUCGACUUUGUUCUCUCUGUAGGAUUUUUCGGUGACAAGGCUGAUACAUAUCUCUUUUCUUUUCUCGAUCGAUUAUGUGCUGCGCAUGGUCUUUCGAUGCUGUUUAAUGUUCGUUCAAUAUCCGAUUUUGAUCUGUCCAAACUGGGAUUUUUGGUGGUACAGUCGUUUUUUUGCCCUUAGAUGCGUCAUUUUAGUUCAAAAUCUGAUUUUGAUUUGUUCUACCCGUGAUGUUGGAUGAUGAAAAAAAUCAGACGGAUUCCCAAUGAUGUCCAAAAGAUGAUAUCAGAAACCAGCUACUUCUGACACAUCACUGGAACAAAUAGCAGUAACUAGAGUUUUUGAUAUGUUCUGCAUGAUGAAUUCUAUCUAUUUUCUUUUCUUGGACUUGGAAAAGAGUUCCAAUUCAUAUGUAUGAUUAGGUUUGGUUUCUUGUGGGCCUAAGAUGUGAGAAUAAUAUUUGCUACUCUUGAUGGGGUCACCCAUUUGAUGAUCCUUAUCCACCAA